UCGAGCGGAAACGAUGAUAGCUUGCUAUCAGGCGUCGAGCGGCGGACGGGGUGAGUAAUACUUAGGAAUCUACCUAGUAGUGGGGGAUAGCACGGGGAAACUCGUAUUAAUACCGCAUACGACCUACGGGAGAAAGGGGGCAGUUUACUGCUCUCGCUAUUAGAUGAGCCUAAGUCGGAUUAGCUAGAUGGUGGGGUAAAGGCCUACCAUGGCGACGAUCUGUAGCUGGUCUGAGAGGAUGAUCAGCCACACCGGGACUGAGACACGGCCCGGACUCCUACGGGAGGCAGCAGUGGGGAAUAUUGGACAAUGGGGGAAACCCUGAUCCAGCCAUGCCGCGUGUGUGAAGAAGGCCUUUUGGUUGUAAAGCACUUUAAGCAGUGAAGAAGACUCUUCGGUUAAUACCCGGAGACGAUGACAUUAGCUGCAGAAUAAGCACCGGCUAACUCUGUGCCAGCAGCCGCGGUAAUACAGAGGGUGCAAGCGUUAAUCGGAAUUACUGGGCGUAAAGGGAGCGUAGGUGGCUCUAUAAGUCAGAUGUGAAAUCCCCGGGCUUAACCUGGGAACUGCAUCUGAAACUGUAGAGCUAGAGUAUGUGAGAGGGAGGUAGAAUUUCAGGUGUAGCGGUGAAAUGCGUAGAGAUCUGAAGGAAUACCGAUGGCGAAGGCAGCCUCCUGGCAUAAUACUGACACUGAGGCUCGAAAGCGUGGGUAGCAAACAGGAUUAGAUACCCUGGUAGUCCACGCCGUAAACGAAUCGACUAGUCGUUGGGUCCCUUGAGGACUUAGUGACGCAGCUAACGCAAUAAGUAGACCGCCUGGGGAGUACGGCCGCAAGGUUAAAACUCAAAUGAAUUGACGGGGGCCCGCACAAGCGGUGGAGCAUGUGGUUUAAUUCGAUGCAACGCGAAGAACCUUACCUGGUCUUGACAUAUCUAGAAUCCUGCAGAGAUGCGGGAGUGCCUUCGGGAAUUAGAAUACAGGUGCUGCAUGGCUGUCGUCAGCUCGUGUCGUGAGAUGUUGGGUUAAGUCCCGCAACGAGCGCAACCCUUGUCCUUAGUUACCAGCGGGUUAAGCCGGGAACUCUAAGGAUACUGCCAGUGACAAACUGGAGGAAGGCGGGGACGACGUCAAGUCAUCAUGGCCCUUACGACCAGGGCUACACACGUGCUACAAUGGUAGGUACAGAGGGCAGCUACACAGCGAUGUGAUGCGAAUCUCAAAAAGCCUAUCGUAGUCCAGAUUGGAGUCUGCAACUCGACUCCAUGAAGUAGGAAUCGCUAGUAAUCGCGGAUCAGAAUGCCGCGGUGAAUACGUUCCCGGGCCUG
rnacentral:rRNA from 1 species